rnacentral:rRNA from 1 species
UAAAGAUUCAUCGCUGAUAGAUAGGCAUGCGUUCCAUUAGGCAGUUGGCGGGGUAACGGCCCACCAAACCGACGAUGGAUAGGGGUUCUGAGAGGAAGGUCCCCCACAUUGGUACUGAGACACGGACCAAACUCCUACGGGAGGCAGCAGUGAGGAAUAUUGGUCAAUGGGCGUAAGCCUGAACCAGCCAAGUCGCGUGAGGGAUGAAGGUUCUAUGGAUCGUAAACCUCUUUUAUAAGGGAAUAAAGUGCGGGACGUGUCCCGUUUUGUAUGUACCUUAUGAAUAAGGAUCGGCUAACUCCGUGCCAGCAGCCGCGGUAAUACGGAGGUUCCGAGCGUUAUCCGGAUUUAUUGGGUUUAAAGGGUGCGUAGGCGGCCUUUUAAGUCAGCGGUGAAAGUCUGUGGCUCAACCAUAGAAUUGCCGUUGAAACUGGGAGGCUUGAGUAUGUUUGAGGCAGGCGGAAUGCGUGGUGUAGCGGUGAAAUGCUUAGAUAUCACGCAGAACCCCGAUUGCGAAGGCAGCCUGCCAAGCCAUGACUGACGCUGAUGCACGAAAGCGUGGGGAUCAAACAGGAUUAGAUACCCUGGUAGUCCACGCAGUAAACGAUGA